CGGCCAUGGGCCGCUCGGCUGGGCCACGGCUGCUCAGCUCGGCCAUGGGCCGCUCGGCUGGGCCACGGCUGC